rnacentral:rRNA from 1 species
ACGGAGGAUGCGAGCGUUAUCCGGAUUUAUUGGGUUUAAAGGGUGCGUAGGCGGCACUAUAAGUUAGUGGUAAAAUAUCCGGGCUUCACCCGGACUCGCCAUUAAUACUGUAGAGCUCGAGUACAGACGAGGUAGGCGGAAUAAGUUAAGUAGCGGUGAAAUGCAUAGAUAUAACUUAGAACUCCGAUAGCGAAGGCAGCUUACCAGACUGUAACUGACGCUGAUGCACGAGAGCGUGGGUAUCGAACAG